rnacentral:rRNA from 1 species
GAGUUUGAUCCUGGCUCAGAACGAACGCUUGCGGCGCGCCUAAUACAUGCAAGUCGAACGAACCAGCAAUGGUGAGUGGCGCACGGGUGAGUAACGCGUGGAUAAUCUGCCCUUCAGUGGGGAAUAACCAACCGAAAGGUUGGCUAAUACCGCAUGAGACCACGAUUCCUGAGGGAAUUGAGGCUAAAGAUUUAUCGCUGAAGGAUGAGUCUGCGUGGGAUUAGCUAGUUGGUGGGGUAAUGGCCUACCAAGGCUACGAUCUCUAACAGGUCUGAGAGGAUGACCUGUCACACUGGAACUGAGACACGGUCCAGACUCCUACGGGAGGCAGCAGUAGGGAAUAUUGCGCAAUGGACGAAAGUCUGACGCAGCGACGCCGCGUGAGUGAUGAAGGCCUUAGGGUCGUAAAGCUCUGUUGUACGGGAAGAAAAAAAUGACGGUACCGUAUAAGAAAGGAUCGGCUAACUUCGUGCCAGCAGCCGCGGUAAUACGAGGGAUCCUAGCGUUGUUCGGAAUUAUUGGGCGUAAAGGGUGUGUAGGUGGCUUUUUAAGUCAGUUGUGAAAUCCCCGGGCUCAACCCGGGAAGUGCCUCUGAUACUAUUAAGCUUGAGUACUGGAGAGGUGAGUGGAAUUCCUGGUGUAGUGGUGAAAUACGUAGAUAUCAGGAGGA